UACGAAGGGGGCUAGCGUUGCUCGGAAUCACGGGGCGUAAAGGGUGCGUAGGCGGGUCUUUAAGUCAGGGGGGAAAUCCUGGAGCUCAACUCCAGAACUGCCUUUGAUACUGAGGAUCUUGAGUUCGGGAGAGGUGAGUGGAACUGCGAGUGUAGAGGUGAAAUUCGUAGAUAUUCGCAAGAACACCAGUGGCGAAGGCGGCUCACUGGCCCGAUACUGACGCUGAGGCACGAAAGCGUGGGGAGCAAACAGG
rnacentral:rRNA from 1 species